AUGGUGGGCGCGAGGCAUGGGCGGCUUCUUCCUGUGGCGGCCCUCCUUGUGGCCGCCUGCUUCUCCCCUCUCUUGCUACCGCCGGCGGCCGCCGUCGAAGAGCUAGGUGGGAGCGGGAGGGAGGCUCAGCGGAACACCGAGCGCAUCUCAGGAAGUGCUGGUGAUGUUCUAGAAGACAAUCCUGUUGGCAAGUUGAAGGUUUUCGUCUACGACUUGCCAAGCAAGUACAACAAGAGGCUUGUCACCAAGGAUCCCCGAUGCCUCAACCACAUGUUUGCCGCUGAGAUAUUCAUGCACCGUUUCUUGCUCUCUAGUGCAGUGAGGACGGUUAACCCUGAAGAGGCCGAUUGGUUCUACGCUCCUGUUUACACUACUUGUGAUCUAACUCGUGCUGGACUUCCGUUACCGUUCAAGUCUCCAAGGAUGAUGAGAAGCGCGAUCCAGUUCAUUUCAAAGAGGUGGCCUUUCUGGAAUAGAACUGAUGGAGGAGAUCAUUUCUUUGUCGCUCCACAUGAUUUUGCAGCAUGCUUUCACUACCAGGAAGAGAAUGCUAUUGCGCGUGGAAUUCUUCCGUUGCUACGCCGUGCUACAUUGGUUCAAACAUUUGGACAGAAGAAUCAUGUUUGCUUGAAAGAGGGGUCUAUUACGAUACCACCAUUUGCGCCACCACAGAAAAUGCAGGCUCACUUGAUUCCUCCUGAUACUCCCCGUUCAAUCUUCGUUUACUUCAGAGGUUUGUUCUAUGACAAUGGGAAUGACCCUGAGGGUGGGUAUUACGCAAGAGGUGCUCGAGCUUCAUUGUGGGAGAACUUCAAGAAUAAUCCUCUGUUUGAUAUCUCCACCGAACACCCUGCCACUUACUACGAAGAUAUGCAGCGCUCCGUCUUCUGCUUAUGCCCGUUGGGGUGGGCGCCAUGGAGUCCUAGGUUGGUGGAGGCUGUGGUUUUUGGCUGCAUUCCAGUCAUCAUAGCUGACGACAUCGUGCUGCCUUUCGCCGAUGCAAUCCCUUGGGACGAAAUUGGUGUUUUUGUUGAUGAGGAGGAUGUGCCAAAGCUUGAUUCAAUUCUCACAUCGAUUCCGAUUGAUGAUAUCCUAAGGAAGCAAAGAUUGCUCGCCAACCCAUCAAUGAAGAAGGCCAUGCUGUUCCCACAGCCAGCGCAACCUAGAGAUGCAUUUCAUCAGAUUCUAAAUGGCCUUGCUCGCAAACUCCCGCACCCAGAGACCAUAUACUUACAGCCAGGUGAGAAGCAUCUCAACUGGACAGCCGGACCUGUUGGAGACUUGAAGCCUUGGUAA
rnacentral:rRNA from 1 species